rnacentral:lncRNA from 10 species
GAGACUUGAAAGGGCGCGUCGGGCAACGCCUCCCCUCCUCCCACUCCGGGCGCCCCUCCUCCCCCCGCUCCCCUCCCGCUUCCCUCCUUCCCCUCUCUCGCCUACCCCUCCUCUUCCAGCUUCCUACCCCUUCCAUCCUCCCCUCCUCCUCUCCUCCCUCCAGGCCCCUCUGCCUCCCUCUGGCUCUGCGCACCCCUUUCUCUCCUCCCCGUCCCCCAUUCCGGGCGCGCUUCCUCCUUGGAGGGGGUGGGAGCCUUUGGCCCCGCACCCCGCCCGCAAGGAAAGAGAAUGCGCGGGUCACCCUUCCGCCUCCGCCCACUCCCCUGGGGAAAGGUGUUCAAAGGGGGUGCGGGCGGCGAGGCUGGAGGCCUGGCGUGGGAUCCAAGCAAAGCGGCCUGCUGAGCCGGGAGGAUCAUAAGAUGUACCAGCUGCUCAGCUCACACGGAUGUUGUGAAGAUUAAUGUGCUCCUGUUUGCAAAUCUUGAAGAUGAAAGAAUACCUGUGUGGGCAAAAAGAAGAUCAUGAAAACGAUGCCUAUGAGCGCAGGCAUUAUUUUGUAAGUUGGUGACUUUGAUGCUUCUGUCCUUACAAAAAGAGAAAACUUCUACAAACAGACACAAACCCAAGGCUGGAGGAUUGCUUGAGAUCAGGAGUUCGAGACCAUCAUGGGAAACACUGCAAGACCCUGUUUCUACAAUUUUUUUUUAAUCAGCCAGGCAUGGUCGCACAUGCCUCUAGUCCCAGCAACUUGAGAGGCUGAGGUGGGAGGAUCGCUUGAGCCCAGGAGGUCAAGGCUACAGUGAGCUAUGAUUGCACCACUGCACUCCAGCCUGGGCGACAGACAGAGAUCUUGUCUCUAAAAGAAAAAAAAAAAAAUGCCCCAGAGUCAAAAAUAAAUUAACCCUAUAAACCUAAGAAAACCUUACAUGCUUGUAUAGUUUAUUGUCUUACACUGUGUCUCUAAAUUUUUCAUAGGCUUUA